GACGAACGCUGGCGGCGUGCCUAAUACAUGCAAGUCGAGCGGACGGAUGGGAGCUUGCUCCCAGACCGUCAGCGGCGGACGGGUGAGUAACACGUGGUCAACCUGCCUGUAAGACUGGGAUAACUCCGGGAAACCGGGGCUAAUACCGGAUAACUCUUUCCCUCACAUGAGGGAAAGCUGAAAGAUGGCAUCUCGCUAUCACUUACCGAUGGGCCCGCGGCGCAUUAGCUAGUUGGUGAGGUAACGGCUCACCAAGGCGACGAUGCGUAGCCGACCUGAGAGGGUGAUCGGCCACACUGGGACUGAGACACGGCCCAGACUCCUACGGGAGGCAGCAGUAGGGAAUAUUCGGCAAUGGGCGAAAGUCUGACGGAGCAACGCCGCGUGAGUGAUGAAGGUUUUCGGAUCGUAAAACUCUGUUGUCAGGGAAGAACAAGUACAGGAGUAAAUGCCGGUACCUUGACGGUACCUGAAGAGAAAGCAACGGCUAACUACGUG
rnacentral:rRNA from 1 species